rnacentral:rRNA from 1 species
UGGGGAAUAUUGGACAAUGGGCGGAAGCCUGAUCCAGCAAUACCGCGUGUGUGAAGAAGGCCUUCGGGUUGUAAAGCACUUUUGUCAGGGAGAAUGGUAGUAGAGGUUAAUACCCUUUGCUAUUGAUGUUACCUGAAGAAUAAGCACCGGCUAACUCCGUGCCAGCAGCCGCGGUAAUACGGGGGGUGCAAGCGUUAAUCGGAAUUACUGGGCGUAAAGGGCGCGUAGGUGGUUACUUAAGUCAGAUGUGAAAGCCCCGGGCUCAACCUGGGAAUUGCAUUUGAUACUGGGUAACUAGAGUGUGGUAGAGAGUAGCGGAAUUUCUGGUGUAGCGGUGAAAUGCGUAGAUAUCAGAAGGAACACCAAUGGCGAAGGCAGCUACUUGGGCCAACACUGACGC